UUGUUCUGUUGCCCAGGCUGGAGUAGAGUGGUGUCAUCUUGGCCGACUGCAACCUCCACCUCCCAGGUUCAAGUGAUUAUCGUGCCUCAGCCUCCCGAGUUGCUGGGAUUACAGGCGCAUGCCCACCAGGCCUGGCUAAUGUUUUUGUAUUUUUAGUAGAGACGAGGUUUCACCAUGUUGGCCAGGCUGGUCUUGAACUCCUGACCUUAAGUGAUCUGCCCACCUUGGCUUCCCAACAGGCUGGGAUUACAGGCAUGAG
rnacentral:lncRNA from 1 species